GCCCGGGUGGCGGAAUCGGUAGACGCAGGGGACUCAAAAUCCCCCAUCUUCACGGGUGUACGAGUUCGAGUCUCGUCCUGGGCA
rnacentral:tRNA from 1 species